CACAUUUGCAGCGGUCGGAGAACAUGUUCAAAGCCGCUAUUCAAGAGCCUGACGCCUGUCUAGAGAAAGUUGGACAAAGACCUUAUGUAUUUGCAAUAUACAUAUGUAUGUGUAAACAUAUGUACAUAUUAUAACUUAGAUUAUGAUUUUUCUGGGCUCGUGCAACAACAACGUAAUGGAUUGUGUAAUAUUUAACAAUUAAUUAAUAAUAAUAUAUACCACAUUGGUACAGAUGUACCAUACAAACUACAACUACAACUUAAUAAAAGCCGUGCAUUGUCUUAAACUAUAUCUGAAGUAAGCAUUAUUAGGGACAGCUUCUUUUAUAAACAGGCACAUUUCAACUUAGAACUUAAGAUUAUAAACUGUGAUAAAUUUUACAUUGUUUAACAGACUUCAAAUAAAACAACAACACAUCGUCUCUAUAAAUUUAUAAUAAUUAAUAAUUUAAAUUCGUUCAAUACAAAUAAAUCUUUGUAAUCCUAACAAA